UUGCUGGGUGGAUUAGUGGCGAACGGGUGAGUAACACGUGAGUAACCUGCCCUUAACUCUGGGAUAAGCCUGGGAAACUGGGUCUAAUACCGGAUAGGAGCACCUACCGCAUGGUGGGUGUUGGAAAGAUUUAUCGGUUUUGGAUGGACUCGCGGCCUAUCAGCUUGUUGGUGAGGUAAUGGCUCACCAAGGCGACGACGGGUAGCCGGCCUGAGAGGGUGACCGGCCACACUGGGACUGAGACACGGCCCAGACUCCUACGGGAGGCAGCAGUGGGGAAUAUUGCACAAUGGGCGCAAGCCUGAUGCAGCGACGCCGCGUGAGGGAUGACGGCCUUCGGGUUGUAAACCUCUUUCAGUAGGGAAGAAGCGAAAGUGACGGUACCUGCAGAAGAAGCACCGGCUAACUACGUGCCAGCAGCCGCGGUAAUACGUAGGGUGCGAGCGUUAUCCGGAAUUAUUGGGCGUAAAGAGCUCGUAGGCGGUUUGUCGCGUCUGUCGUGAAAGUCCGGGGCUUAACCCCGGAUCUGCGGUGGGUACGGGCAGACUAGAGUGCAGUAGGGGAGACUGGAAUUCCUGGUGUAGCGGUGGAAUGCGCAGAUAUCAGGAGGAACACCGAUGGCGAAGGCAUGUCUCUGGGCUGUAACUGACGCUGAGGAGCGAAAGCAUGGGGG
rnacentral:rRNA from 1 species